UGCAUGAAGUGCCUUCUUAACCUCAUAGGACAGGAGACAUGAAAAGGUCCAGGGACACCCCAUUCCAUCCCAGGAGCCUGAGGGAGCUGCAAUCUGUGAGGGUCCUCACCAUGGCUUGGACGUUGCUUCUUCUUGUGCUCCUUGCCUAUGGCUCAGGAGCAGAUUCUCAGACUGUGGUAACCCAGGAGCCAUCACUCUCAGUGUCUCCAGGAGGGACAGUCACACUCACAUGUGGCCUCAGCUCUGGGUCAGUCUCUACAAGUAAUUACCCUGGCUGGUACCAGCAGACCCUAGGCCGGGCUCCUCGCACGAUUAUCUACAGAACAAGCAGCCGCCCCUCUGGGGUCCCUAAUCGCUUCUCUGGAUCCAUCUCUGGGAACAAAGCCGCCCUCACCAUCACAGGAGCCCAGCCUGAGGACGAGGCUGACUAUUACUGUUCCUUGUAUAUGGGUAGUUACACUGACACAGUGAUUUAAAUCUAUGGGGAAGUG